UACGGGGGUUGCAAGCGUUGUUCGAAAUUACUGGGCGUAAAGCGUGCGUAGGCGGUCGCGUAAGUCCUGGGUGAAAUCCUUCGGCUUAACCGGAGAGGGUCCCAGGAUACUGUGCGACUGGAGUGUGAGAGGGGAGAGCGGAAUUCCGAGUGUAGUGGUGAAAUACGUAGAUAUUCGGAGGAACACCGGCGGCGAAAGCGGCUCUCUGGCUCACAACUGACGCUGAGGCACGAAAGCGUGGGGAGCAAACAGG
rnacentral:rRNA from 1 species